UACAGAGGUCUCAAGCGUUGUUCGGAUUCAUUGGGCGUAAAGGGUGCGUAGGUGGCAUGGUAAGUCGGAUGUGAAAUCCCGGGGCUCAACCCCGGAACUGCAUUCGAUACUGCUGAGCUAGAGUACUGGAGAGGAGAUUGGAAUUUACGGUGUAGCAGUGAAAUGCGCAGAUAUCAGGAGGAACACCGGUGGCGAAGGCGGGUCUCUGGGCCGAUACUGACGCUGAGGAGCGAAAGCGUGGGGAGCAAACAGG
rnacentral:rRNA from 1 species